rnacentral:rRNA from 1 species
ACGCUGGCGGCGUGCUUAACACAUGCAAGGUCGAACGAGGAGUCAGGGAGAGCUUGCUUGAACUGAUCCGAGUGGCGGACGGGUGAGUAACGCGUGAGGAACCUGUCUCAUACAGGGGGAUAACGCAUCGAAAGAUGUGCUAAUACCGCGUAGGACCACAGCAUCGCAUGGUGCAGAGGUGAAAGGAGCAAUCCGGUAUGAGGUGGACUCGCGUCUGAUUAGAUAGUUGGUGAGGUAACGGCCCACCCAAGUCAACGAUCAGUAGCCGACCUGAGAGGGUGAUCGGCCACAUUGGGACUGAGACACGGCCCAGACUCCUACGGGAGGCAGCAGUGGGGAAUAUUGGGCAAUGGGCGAAAGCCUGACCCAGCAACGCCGCGUGAAGGAAGAAGGUUUUCGGAUCGUAAACUUCUGUCCUAUAAGAAGAUAGUGACGGUAUUAUAGGAGGAAGCCCGGCUAACUACGUGCC